rnacentral:rRNA from 1 species
GCAGUCAAGAAUAUUAGUCAAUGCUCGCAAGAGUGAACUAGCUAACUGAAAUCACAGAAAUCACUACGUGUGAUAACUGUUAUAACGUAAGGGAAAAAAAUGAUGUUACCUUACUAUUAGUGUUGUCCAAAACUGGUGCCAGAAGACUCGGUAAGGCCAGAGACGCAAACGUUAGUCGUCUUAAUCAGGCGUAAAGGGUAUGUAGGCUGCUUUAAAAGUUUUAAUAUUUAAUAGCUCUGUAUAAACAAAAACAAACAUUAGUCUAUACAGCCAAAUAUAAAAUGAAUAAAAGCUAGGAUCAAAUUGGGGAUAGUAAAAUAAUGCUUAGUGUAGGGUUUAAAUCUGGUGAUACUAAGAAGAGUACUAACGGUGAAAGCUUUUUAUCUAGAAAUGAUUGACGCUGAGAAACGAAGGUGAGAAUAGGAAAUAGGAUUAGAUACCCUGAUACCUCUCACAGUAAACGAUGAAUGGUAGUUGUUAGUUAGUUAGAUUUAACUGGUAACGAUGUUAACACGAUAACCAUUCCGCCUUGCGAGUACGGUUGCAAAACUGAAACCAAAAAAAUUAGUCGGUCUCGAAGCAAACGAAGUGAAGCAUGUUAUUUAAUUCGAUAAUCC